rnacentral:rRNA from 1 species
UUGAACGCUGGCGGCAUGCCUUACACAUGCAAGUCGAACGGUAACAGGUCUUCGGAUGCUGACGAGUGGCGAACGGGUGAGUAAUGCAUCGGAACGUACCCAGUCGUGGGGGAUAACUACGCGAAAGCGUAGCUAAUACCGCAUACGCCCUGAGGGGGGAAGCGGGGGACCUUCGGGCCUCGCGCGAUUGGAGCGGCUGAUGUCGGAUUAGCUGGUUGGUGGGGUAAAGGCCUACCAAGGCGACGAUCCGUAGCGGGUCUGAGAGGAUGAUCCGCCACUCUGGGACUGAGACACGGCCCAGACUCCUACGGGAGGCAGCAGUGGGGAAUUUUGGACAAUGGGCGAAAGCCUGAUCCAGCCAUGCCGCGUGAGUGAAGAAGGCCUUCGGGUUGUAAAGCUCUUUCAGCCGGAAAGAAAUCGCGCAGGCUAAUACUCUGCGUGGAUGACGGUACCGGAAGAAGAAGCACCGGCUAACUACGU